CGGUCCUAAGGUAGCGAAAUUCCUUGUCGGGUAAGUUCCGACCUGCACGAAUGGCAUAAUGAUGGCCAGGCUGUCUCCACCCGAGACUCAGUGAAAUUGAAAUCGCCGUGAAGAUGCGGUGUACCCGCGGCUAGACGGAAAGACCCCGUGAACCUUUACUAUAGCUUGACACUGAACAUUGAAUUUUGAUGUGUAGGAUAGGUGGGAGACUUUGAAGUAGUCACGCCAGUGAUUAUGGAGUCGUCCUUGAAAUACCACCCUUUAACGUUUGAUGUUCUAACGAAGAUUGCGGAACGCGGUCUCGGACAGUGUCUGGUGGGUAGUUUGACUGGGGCGGUCUCCUCCCAAAGAGUAACGGAGGAGCACGAAGGUUUGCUAAUCACGGUCGGACAUCGUGAGGUUAGUGCAAUGGUAUAAGCAAGCUUAACUGCGAGACAGACAAGUCGAGCAGGUACGAAAGUAGGUCAUAGUGAUCCGGUGGUUCUGAAUGGAAGGGCCAUCGCUCAACGGAUAAAAGGUACUCCGGGGAUAACAGGCUGAUACCGCCCAAGAGUUCAUAUCGACGGCGGUGUUUGGCACCUCGAUGUCGGCUCAUCACAUCCUGGGGCUGAAGUAGGUCCCAAGGGUAUGGCUGUUCGCCAUUUAAAGUGGUACGCGAGCUGGGUUUAGAACGUCGUGAGACAGUUCGGUCCCUAUCUGCCGUGGGCGUUGGAGAAUUGAUUGGGGCUGCUCCUAGUACGAGAGGACCGGAGUGGACGCAUCACUGGUGUUCCGGUUGUGUCGCCAGACGCAUUGCCGGGUAGCUACAUGCGGAAGAGAUAAGUGCUGAAAGCAUCUAAGCACGAAACUUGCCAAGAGAUGAGUUCUCCCAGGUUAUAAACCUGUAAGGGUUGUUUAAGACUAAGACGUAGAUAGGUGCGGUGUGUAAGUGUAGUGAUACAUUGAGCUAACGCAUACUAAUUGCCCGAGAGGCUUAGCCAU
rnacentral:rRNA from 1 species